CAUUGAGAAGGUUCUUGAUCGUGGAGAGAAGAUAGAGCUUCUUGUUGAUAAGACAGAGAACCUUCAUCACCAGGCACAGGACUUCAGGAACACGGGAACCCAAAUACGGAGGAAGAUGUGGCUGCAAAACAUGAAAAUCAAGCUGAUAGUGUUAGGUAUCCUGAUAGCUUUGAUCCUCAUCAUUGUUCUCUCAGUUUGCAAGGGAUUCAAUUGUGGAAAGUGAGGGAGGAUGUUUCUAUUGUGAUGCUAUAGUUGUAUGAAAAGCUUUGUCCUAUAUCAGCAUUUACAUUUCUGUGAGAAUAGAGACGAUGUAUGUUCUGUAUGUAUUAGCCUACUUACUUUUUUUCUGUUUGUUGAAGCAGAAUGGAUCUGAUUUUCUCUUCUUUAUAUUCUGGUCUAAAUGUAGUAGUAUGUGAUGCCCCCGCCAUUGAGAGGUCAUUUUGUGCUGUUAGUGAUUUGUUCCUUUUUUAUAAAGAAAAAGACCUCCA
rnacentral:misc_RNA from 1 species